CAAUAGCGUAUGUUAAAGUUGUUGCAGUUAAAAAGCUCGUAGUUGGAUUUCUGGUAGAAGUAGCGACCUUGGGUCUUUGACCUAUGAAGUUGCUAUCUUCAACCAUCCUUGAAGAGAUUUAGUUUGGCAUUAAGUUGUCGAACUAAAGAUAUUCAUCUUUUACUGUGAAAAAAUCAGAACGUUCAAAGUAAGCAUUUAGCUUUGAAUGUAUUAGCAUGGAAUAAUGAAAUAGGACUUAGGUACUACUUUGUUGGUUUUAUGCACCUAGGUAAUGAUUAAUAGGGAUAGUUGGGGGGUAUUCGUAGUUCCAAUGUUAGAGGUGAAAUUCUUGGAUUUUUGGUAAGACGAACAACUUAGCGAAAGCAUUUACCAAAGGAUGUUUUUCAUUAAAUCAAGUAACGAAAGUUAAGGGAUCGAAGACGAUUA
rnacentral:rRNA from 1 species